UACGAAGGGGGCUAGCGUUGCUCGGAAUCACUGGGCGUAAAGGGUGCGUAGGCGGGUCUUUAAGUCAGGGGUGAAAUCCUGGAGCUCAACUCCAGAACUGCCUUUGAUACUGAAGAUCUUGAGUCCGGGAGAGGUGAGUGGAACUGCGAGUGUAGAGGUGAAAUUCGUAGAUAUUCGCAAGAACACCAGUGGCGAAGGCGGCUCGCUGGGACGUGACUGACGCUGAGACGCGAAAGCGUGGGGAGCAAACAGG
rnacentral:rRNA from 1 species